rnacentral:tRNA from 1 species
GGAGGGGUGGCCGAGCGGUUGAAGGCGGCGGUCUUGAAAAUCGCUGUAGGGGCGACUCUACCGUGGGUUCGAAUCCCACCCCCUCCGCCA